UACGUAGGGUGCGAGCGUUAAUCGGAAUUACUGGGCGUAAAGCGUGCGCAGGCGGUUCGUUGUGUCGGCGGUGAAAGCCCCGGGCUUAACCUGGGAAUGGCCGUCGAAACUGGCGAACUGGAGUGUGGCAGAGGGGGGUGGAAUUCCGCGUGUAGCGGUGAAAUGCGCAGAUAUCGGGAGGAACACCAGUGGCGAAGGCGGCCUGCUGGACCGGCACUGACGCUGAGACGCGAAAGCGUGGGGAGCAAACAGG
rnacentral:rRNA from 1 species